GACGAACGCUGGCGGCGUGCUUAACACAUGCAAGUCGAACGGAAAGGCCCUGCUUUUGUGGGGUGCUCGAGUGGCGAACGGGUGAGUAACACGUGAGUAACCUGCCCUUGACUUUGGGAUAACUUCAGGAAACUGGGGCUAAUACCGGAUAGGAGCUCCUGCUGCAUGGUGGGGGUUGGAAAGUUUCGGCGGUUGGGGAUGGACUCGCGGCUUAUCAGCUUGUUGGUGGGGUAGUGGCUUACCAAGGCUUUGACGGGUAGCCGGCCUGAGAGGGUGAGCGGCCACAGUGGGACUGAGAUACGGCCCAGACUCCUACGGGAGGCAGCAGUGGGGAAUAUUGCACAAUGGGCGGAAGCCUGAUGCAGCAACGCCGCGUGCGGGAUGACGGCCUUCGGGUUGUAAACCGCUUUCGCCUGUGACGAAGCGUGAGUGACGGUAAUGGGUAAAGAAGCACCGGCUAACUACGUG
rnacentral:rRNA from 1 species